UGCAUGCUGAGAUUUUAGGGGGAUGUUUACAAUGUCUGCAUUUGCUCUGAUGUGCAUGGAAAAAGAUAGAGGCUAAGAAAUGCCACAAAGCAAGUGCAGUAAAAGGUUCAUGAUAGACUAGAGGUAUUUAUUAAAAAUUAUAAAACACUUUCAAUUUUGCUGAAUAUUUUUAAAUUCUUAUUAAAAUGUUGAAAAUAGUAACAUAAAAAAUAAGUCAAUAAGAUGGUAGAAUUAAACCAUUUAUGCCUAAGGUAGCAAUCAGACAUUGGUGAUCACCUUGAGCAGUAGGAUAUAAAUCCGACAUGCCUAGCGUUCCAUUAUUAGAACAUUCCGUUAUUGGAACCUUCCAUUAUUGGAAUGCUAGGCAUAAAAGGAUUAAGACCAAGUAUAUUAGCCGUCUAAAUACAAGGAGGCGUUAAGCCUCUGUAGGAAGUGACACAGACACAGCGACCUCCUGUCUCCUGCCAUAUCUUGUCCACCAGAGGCCGUCACUGGGCCCAGCCCACACACAAGGCAGGGAGCCCCCAAGGGUGGGAUCGCAGGGUCACUGGGGCCGUUUUGGAAGCCGCCUACCAUGCCCCAUUCUGACUUGGUUGAACCCUCCCCAAACCUCCCCUGGUUCUUUCUCUCACCAUGCCCACCACCUGGGAGCACGUGCUUGUCUUAACUCUCCAAGUCCUUAGUCAUUUCCUUCACACCCCCACCUUCCUCGGAGGUGGCCACCGGAAGAGCUUGGAUGACCAGCCCAGGCCUUUCUGUUCUAAUCACCUAUGUACUUGGGCACACAUACCGCUCGCCGGGCUGUGGAGUUGUUGUUUUUGUUUUAAUAAGGCCACCGAUACUCCACGUGAUGAUCUGGUGGCCUCGCUGGGUGUCCUCGGGAGGCCACUUUGACAGACAGGGAGGCCGUUUCUGCACUCUGCUGCGUCAGACCUUGCUGGUAACUCCGGGCCUCUGCAGAGGAAAUCUGCAUAGGGAAGGCGGUGUGGACGGACAGAAACGGCCCUCACAGCCACAGAACCACCGCGGCCACAGCAGCGCGGCGUCCGGCAGGGAGCGGACCGUGGUGGAGGCCUCUGAGCCGAGCAGGCCACGCAGACCCGGGAGGCGCUGAAGCGGGCGCAGCUGCGCCCUGGAGCAGGCAGACCAGGCCACGGCGGAGGGAGAGGCCCGGGGACGCGGCGCAGCCCCUGCGGAGAGGCACGGGGGCGGCGGGGACGCCCUCCCACUGGCUGAAAUGCCAGGGACCGGCCUGGGCGUGGAGCAGCCGGGGCGAGCCCGCCUCCAGGCACCGCCGGCUGCCCUAGGCAGGGCCUGCAGGAGUGGCCCGGAGCCGGGCACCGAGGCACCGAGGCGGGGACCUGGAGGGGGCAUUCGGUGCUGACUACAGGUCUACAGUCUAAGUCCAGCGCCUGAAGCUGAGGUGUGUGGAUUCCACACUGAUCGUGUCCCCUACACGCUCAUCUUCCGUGUACAGAACGGAGACUCCUUCCUCCACCUACCCAGAGACGCCUGUGUAACUGACUCUUCCUUUACUCCCUUUCCCUCGCCGGUCAUUCGCCUUACCUUAUGGAAAGUGUAAAUUAGGCACUGAGGAACGUCUCACAGGAAUGCAGCCUUCAGCCUUCCUGCCUGCUGGCCCCUCUUCCUACCUGCCCCCGGCCCCGCUUAAGGAAAUGCGCCAACAGGAAGCCUCCUGAAAAGCUCUUUGGAGAAACAGCCGCAGCUGUGUCUGUGGCUGGUGUUUUUCCCAGGUGAACCCUAAAGCUGGCUUGAAAAACCUAAAUGAGCCGAGUGCAGUGGCUCACGCCUGUAAUCCCAGCACUUUGGGAGGCCGAGGUGGGUGGAUCACCUCAGGUCAGGAGUUCAAGACCAGCCUGGCUAACAUGGCGAAAGUCCAUCUCUACUAAAUAUACAAAAAUUAGCCGGGUGUGGUGGUGCAUGUCUAUAGUCCCAGCUACUCAGGAGGCUGAGACAGGAGAAUCGCUUGAGCCCGGGAGGCAGAGGUUGCAGUGAGCCAAGAUCAUGCCACUGCCCUCCAACCUGGGUGACAAGAGGGAGACUCCAUUCUUCCAAGAGGGAGAAUUUUAAUUCAUGUUGUUUUAGAGUCCAUUUAUGCCAUCACAAUUGAUGUUUUACAUUUAUUUAUUUUCUUUUCUCCUAUUUUGCUUUCCAUUAAAUAGAAAAAAGAAAAACCUCCAUGAUCGAGACUUAAGCCUCAGUUGCUCAUUUCACUCGUCAAACCCAUAGUCGCAUCUUCUGAUUUAUGACAAACUUAUGUCCUAGGGACCAGGGGCUCCUGCAGAUGCAGCAUCUCAAGGAACCUGGCCAAUGCGGAUGUGGUGUUUGUAGAGGCGCAGGUUCCAUUCCAACACACGCUCAAGCCCUGCUGUGCAACGUGAGCUCUCCCGGCGGCACACUGGCUAUCCCGGCCCUUGACUCGUCUCUGCUGUCCUUCCUCUUCUCAACAUGUGUCUCCCAAAAGGAUGAAAACACUGCUUCUUUUUGAGAGCUCUCAUGUGAGACGGAAAGUGCUAUUGAAAGGGGGACGGAUCCGUGACCUGCAUGACCAGCGUUCACCCAGCACAGGACAUCACCCAGUGCAUCGCUGCGAGCGGUGGCGUGGAGGGGCCCAUGCUCCUCUGGGAGAACUGGGGGAGAACCGGGACCCCCGGAGGCAGCCAGAGCUCGGACCCCUGGCCAUGGGGGAGGAGGGAAGGAGGGCCACACCCAGAACGCCCUGAGGCUGCAAGAGAGGCAGGCCUGGGGCAUUGAACCAGGGGCUGCAGUGAAGAAAGGGGAGAAGUCUGAGAUCCAAAAUGCAAAAACCACAGGGAAGCAGCGGGCAGGUGCUGGGGCCGGGGCUGGGGCAGGCGCAGGGGCAGGGGCAGGUGCAGGGGCUGGGCAGGCGCAGGGGCAAGUGCAGGGACAGGCUCAGGGGCGG
rnacentral:lncRNA from 10 species